rnacentral:rRNA from 1 species
GAUGAACGCUGGCGGCGUGCUUAACACAUGCAAGUCGAACGAUGAAGCCCAGCUUGCUGGGUGGAUUAGUGGCGAACGGGUGAGUAACACGUGAGUAACCUGCCCUUGACUCUGGGAUAAGCCUGGGAAACUGGGUCUAAUACUGGAUAUGACUUCUCAUCGCAUGGUGGGGGGUGGAAAGAUUUAUUGGUCUUGGAUGGACUCGCGGCCUAUCAGCUUGUUGGUGAGGUAAUGGCUCACCAAGGCGACGACGGGUAGCCGGCCUGAGAGGGUGACCGGCCACACUGGGACUGAGACACGGCCCAGACUCCUACGGGAGGCAGCAGUGGGAAUAUUGCACAAUGGGCGCAAGCCUGAUGCAGCGACGCCGCGUGAGGGAUGACGGCCUUCGGGUUGUAAACCUCUUUCAGUAGGGAAGAAGCGAGAGUGACGGUACCUGCAGAAGAAGCGCCGGCUAACUACGUG